rnacentral:rRNA from 1 species
AUUGAACGCUGGCGGCAGGCCUAACACAUGCAAGUCGAACGCGUGGCGCACGGGUGAGUAAUGUCUGUGAAACUCCGCGCUGGAGAGGGGUAUCACCUGUAAACGGUAUCUAUUAUCGCAUACCAUCUGAUGUGCCCCGAGGGGAUUAGCUUGUAGGUGAGGUAAAGGCUCACCUAGGCGACGAUCCCUAGCUGGUCUGAGAGGAUGACCAGCCACACUGGAACUGAGACACGGUCCAGACUCCUACGGGAGGCAGCAGUGGGGAAUAUUGCACAAUGGGCGCAAGCCUGAUCCAGCCAUGCCGCGUGGAUGAAGAAGGCCUUAGGGUUGUAAAGUACUUUUGGUGGGGAGGCGGUACCCAAAGAAGAAGCACCGGCUAACUUCGUGCCAGCAGCCGCGGUAAUUC